rnacentral:rRNA from 1 species
AUUGAACGCUGGCGGCGUGCUUAACACAUGCAAGUCGAGCGGUAACAGGCGUAGCAAUACGUGCUGACGAGCGGCGAGCGGGUGCGUAAUACAUGGGAAUCUGCCCUUUGGUGGGGAAUAACCCGGCGAAAGCCGGGCUAAUGCCGCAUGAGAUCUUCGGAUGAAAGCGGGGGAUCGUAAGACCUCGCGCCGAUGGAUGAGCCCAUGUCGGAUUAGCUAGUUGGUGAGGUAACGGCUCACCAAGGCGACGAUCCGUAGCUGGUCUGAGAGGACGGCCAGCCACACUGGGACUGAGACACGGCCCAGACUCCUACGGGAGGCAGCAGUGGGGAAUAUUGGACAAUGGGGGAAACCCUGAUCCAGCGACGCCGCGUGUGUGAAGAAGGCCUGCGGGUUGUAAAGCACUUUCGAUGGGAACGAAAUGCGCCGGGCUAAUACCCCGGCAAGCUGACGUUACUCAAUGAAGAAGCACCGGCUAACUCUGUGCCAGCAGCCGCCGUAAGAC